UACGAAGGGGGCUAGCGUUGUUCGGAAUCACUGGGCGUAAAGCGCACGUAGGCGGCUUGUUAAGUCGGGGGUGAAAUCCUGAGGCUCAACCUCAGAACUGCCUUCGAUACUGGCAAUCUCGAGUCCGGAAGAGGUUGGUGGAACAGCUAGUGUAGAGGUGAAAUUCGUAGAUAUUAGCUAGAACACCAGUGGCGAAGGCGGCCAGCUGGUCCGGUACUGACGCUGAGGUGCGAAAGCGUGGGGAGCAAACGGG
rnacentral:rRNA from 1 species